GAUGGUAGGUCCAUCAGAGUCGUUGUAUAGGCGAUGGCUCUAAACCCCCUAAAGGUGUUGUUGUAAAGAGCUCCGAAGCCUCGGGGGUGCUGAGCGUUUAGGAGAAUCCAAUCCACGAGGUUGGCAAGG
rfam:Psychroflexus torquis ATCC 700755, complete genome.